GACGAACGCUGGCGGCGUGCUUAACACAUGCAAGUCGAACGGAAAGGCCCUGCUUUUGUGGGUUGCUCGAGUGGCGAACGGGUGUGUAACACGUGAGUAACCUGCCCUUGACUUUGGGAUAACUUCAGGAAACUGGGGCUAAUACCGGAUAUGAGCUCCUGCUGCAUGUUGGGGGUUGGAAAGUUUCGGCGGUUGGGGAUGGACUCGCGGCUUAUCAGCUUGUUGGUGGGGUAGUUGCUUACCAAGGCUUUGACGGGUAGCCGGCCUGAGAGGGUGAACGGCCACAAUGGGACUGAGAUAAGGCCCAGAAUCAUACGGGAGGCAGCAGUGGGGAAUAUUGCACAAUGGGCGGAAGCCUGAUGAAGAAACGCCGCGUGCGGGAUGACGGCCUUCGGGUUGUAAACCGCUUUCGCCUGUGACGAAGCGUGAGUGACGGUAAUGGGUAAAGAAGCACCGGCUAACUACGUG
rnacentral:rRNA from 1 species